rnacentral:rRNA from 1 species
UACGGAGGGUGCAAGUGUUAUCCGGAAUUAUUGGGCGUAAAGCGUCCGUAGGGGGUUCACCAAGUCUGCUGUCAAAGGGUGGGGCUUAACCUCAUAAAGGCAGUGGAAACUGGUGAGCUAGAGUGCGGUAGGGGUAAGGGGAAUUCCCAGUGUAGCGGUGAAAUGCGUAGAGAUUGGGAAGAACAUCGGUGGCGAAAGCGCCUUACUGGGCCGGCACUGACACUGAGGGACGAAAGCUAGGGGAGCGAAAGGG